AGCGAACGCUGGCGGCAGGCUUAACACAUGCAAGUCGAGCGGGCAUCCUUGUGGUGUCAGCGGCAGACGGGUGAGUAACGCGUGGGAACGUGCCCUUCGGUUCGGAAUAACUCAGGGAAACUUGAGCUAAUACCGGAUACGUGCGAGAGCAGAAAGGUUUAUCUGCCGAAGGAUCGGCCCGCGUCUCAUUAGCUAGUUGGUGAGGUUAUGGCUCACCAAGGCGACGAUCAGUAGCUGGUCUGAGAGGAUGAUCAGCCACACUGGGACUGAGACACGGCCCAGACUCCUACGGGAGGCAGCAGUGGGGAAUAUUGGACAAUGGGGGCAACCCUGAUCCAGCCAUGCCGCGUGAGUGAUGACGGCCUUAGGGUUGUAAAGCUCUUUUCUCCGGGACGAUAAUGACGGUACCGGAGGAAUAAGCCCCGGCUAACUUCGUG
rnacentral:rRNA from 1 species